AUGCUAGUAAUAAUCUCCUAUGUGCAUUCUAUUCUUUUACAGACUGAGAAAUUAGGAGACACCUAUUACCUCUUAAAAAGAAAUGUAGUCCUUGCUGAUACUGGGAAAUAUAUCUGUGUUGCCAGCAAUGAAGUUGGGAAGGCAUACUGUUCAGCUUUCGUAACAGUGAUAGAGAAAAAUAAAAAGCCAGAAAUUUCCACUGUAACUCAGACUAAAUCAGAAUGGGAACAGGAAUACCUGUCAGAAAAAGUGGGUGUCACAACAACUGAACUAGCGCAAACCCAGGACAUGUGUUAUGUGAGAGGUCAAAGACCAGUGGCUAAACAUCUGCCAGUAAGGUUUGAAGAGAAACUCUGGCUUCAGGGUGUGUAUCUUGAAAUUCUGAGGCCAGAAGAGGUUAGCCUCAAUUUGGACUGUGAUCCUGUUCCCCUGGCUGCUGCAGAGGAUCAGAAGAAAGAUUGAACUACAAGAUACCUGAUUCACGAGGGUGCUCAUUGUUUGCUGUGUUUCUUAGUGGGUGUUAGCCACGAAUCAAGAGAAUGGGAAUCUUUGAGUGCUAUUAGAUUUGUAUCUAGGUUACAAUUUGUACUUGCUUUCUCUAUAAAUACAUCAUUAAUAAAAUUCACAUGUGCACAGCA
ensembl:lncRNA